GACGAACGCUGGCGGCGUGCCUAAUACAUGCAAGUUGAGCGCUGAAGGUUGGUACUUGUACCAACUGGAUGAGCAGCGAACGGGUGAGUAACGCGUGGGGAAUCUGCCUUUGAGCGGGGGACAACAUUUGGAAACGAAUGCUAAUACCGCAUAAAAACUUUAAACACAAGUUUUAAGUUUGAAAGAUGCAAUUGCAUCACUCAAAGAUGAUCCCGCGUUGUAUUAGCUAGUUGGUGAGGUAAAGGCUCACCAAGGCGAUGAUACAUAGCCGACCUGAGAGGGUGAUCGGCCACAUUGGGACUGGGACACGGCCCAAACUCCUACGGGAGGCAGCAGUAGGGAAACUUCGGCAAUGGACGGAAGUCUGACCGAGCAACGCCGCGUGAGUGAAGGAGGUUUUCGGAUCGUAAAACUCUGUUGGUAGAGAAGAACGUUGGUGAGAGUGGAAAGCUCAUCAAGUGACGGUAACUACCCAGAAAGGGACGGCUAACUACGUG
rnacentral:rRNA from 1 species